CCUGGCUUCAAGAGAUUCUCCUGCCUCAGCCUCCCGAGUAGCUGGGAUUACAGGCAUGUGCCAGCACACCCGGCUAAUUUUUGUAUUCUUAGUAAAGACGGAGUUUCUCCAUGUUGGCCAGGCUGGUCUCGAAUUCCCGACCUCAAGUGAUCUGCCCGCCUCGGCCUCCCGAAGUGCUGAAAUUACAGGCGUGAGCCACCGCGCCCGGCCCAGAAACAUGUUUUGAAGGGCAGGCACCGCACAGGGUGCUGGAGACAGACUGAAGGAAACUGCACCUCUCAGUGACUCAAGAGAGAUUUGUUGAGUAUCUACCAAGUGCCUAGCGCUGUUCUUGUCCCUGGGGAUUCAGCCUCUGGAUUGGGACCUGCAGCCCAGAGAAGGGAAAUGGGGGAAAUCCAAGUUCCCAGGUACAUCAUGAUACCCUUCCAGCCUCUCCUUCCUGGAAAUUGCCAUCACCAGCGGCCAUAGCACCCCCAUGGGACCUGGGGGAUGGAGUUGGAAGCCCCCUCCGGCAACACUGGCCAGAUUGGAGGGACCAGCAGGGAAGCUCCCUCCUACCCCCAGAGAGGCUGAAGCCAGCUCUCCAUGGCCACGAAACCCGGAACCCAGGACCCUGGGGGGCAGGGCUAUGCUGGACUAGAGAAGACACAAGUGGCCAAAGCUGGACCCAGCCCUCAGGGAACAGAUAACCUGCGUGAGAAACAAAUAAUUGAUUCUGCCCUUUAUCCCUCCCGGGCCAGCACGGAGGGGUUCAGCCAAUGACUGGGAAUUGAAUGAAAAACCAAAGAGAACAGCCAUGAGAUCCGUCUGCUACGGGUGGGAAAGCAGAUGGGAGAGUGAGAAGGGCUUCAAGGAGAAGGUGAUAUGUGAACAGGGCAUAAAUGGAUGAAUAGGAGUUUGCCAGGCACAGAAAGGGAAGGACAUUCCAGGGGAAGCAGGCAGAGGCCUGGCAAGGCAAAGGCCAGGAGGAUUGCAAGUAAAGUCAUGGUAUGAGCAGAAAACAAGAGAGGUCCAGUUGCCCAUGGCAUAGGAGAGGGGACAGGCCAAGAGGGUAGUGGGUAAGCACUGUUUUCCCUGCCCAGCAUCCAUCUCUCACUCUGGUGACUGUCCCUCAGUUUUCUAGUCUCCAGUGUGACUGGCCCCCA
rnacentral:lncRNA from 1 species